UGCGGGGGGUGCAAGCGUUACUCGGAAUCACUGGGCGUAAAGGACGCGUAGGCGGAUUAUCAAGUCUUUUGUGAAAUCUAGUGGCUUAACCACUAAACUGCUUAGGAAACUGAUAGUCUAGAGUAGGGGAGAGGUAGAUGGAAUUCUUGGUGUAGGGGUAAAAUCCGUAGAGAUCAAGAAGAAUACCCAUUGCGAAAGCGAUUUGCUGGAACCUAACUGACGCUGAGGCGUGAAAGCGUGGGUAGCAAACAGG
rnacentral:rRNA from 1 species